GGAAAAAGCUUCAGUACAAAUAAAACACAAUUGAGUCUUGCUUUGUAACAAACAAAACAAACAGAUGCACAAACAAUUUGAGAAAAGCAUGCAUGCAUAACAUCUUAGGGUACGAGGAAAGAAACAGCACUGAAAGAAUAAUUUUUGAACUAUUACUUGAGUGCUGACAAAGUGCACAAAAAAUGCAGAAGAUAUCAUCUAUACUCUCAUACACAUGAUCUAUCAUUUCUAAGGCAC
rnacentral:misc_RNA from 1 species